rnacentral:misc_RNA from 1 species
GAUGAAGAACGUAGCGAAAUGCGAUAAGUAAUGUGAAUUGCAGAAUUCAGUGAAUCAUCGAAUCUUUGAACGCACAUUGCGCCCGCCAGUAUUCUGGCGGGCAUGCCUGUUCGAGCGUCAUUUCAACCAUCAAGCCCCAGGCUUGUGUUGGGGACCUGCGGCUGCCGCAGGCCCUGAAAACCAGUGGCGGGCUCGCUAGUCACACCGAGCGUAGUAGCAUACACAUCGCUCAGGGCGUGCUGCGGGUUCCGGCCGUUAAACCCCUUUUUUACCCAAGGUUGACCUCGGAUCAGGUAGGAAGACCCGCUGAACUUAAGCAUAUCAAUAAGCGGAGGA